CGGGGCGAGCGAGGGAGUUCGUAUCGAAGUGGCCUCAGGUUCAGAGAGCCCUGGUUCUCGCUGAGGACGUGAACGACGGUCGGACUGAGAGGCUGAAAGGUCGGAAGACCGGACGGCGACCCCCAAGCACCUGAUCCGGACAAUGCCGGCGAAGGGAGCCCACCUCGUAGGUCG
rnacentral:ncRNA from 1 species